UGUCUUGCCUCACCUUGAUGUCCUCGUUCUUUAUGCUGGACACGCUGGUGACUUUCCUCUUGAUGUUCUCCAGGAGGUGCUCCUGGCCACGGAUGAAAUAGGGGUGCUGGAACUCAGUGUCGUCCUUCUCUGGCUUCACCAACCCUCCCUGCUCGAUGUGCACCACCUUCCGGAAGCCAUACAUGUUGAGCUGCCGCACGAAGCUGGCCAUGUUGUUGUGCUUGAAGUACUU
rnacentral:lncRNA from 1 species